AGGUGGGAGGAUGGCUUGAGCCUGGGAGAUGGAGGUUGCAGUGAGCUGAGAUCACACUACUGCACUCCAGCCUAGGC
ensembl:miRNA